CCGUUUCCCAUCUAAAUAGUAUUCAUCAAUAAAGACAAAAAAGAUUAUCUUAAAUAUAAGAUUAUUUUGGUAAAAUCAAUGGGAUUGACAUUUUUCAUGAUGUUUCAAACAUUGAUUUAUUAAAUUAAGUGGUCGCGCGCGAUUGGACGGAGGACUUGUAUGUUUUAUACAAAAUUUAUUUUCCUGACACACAUUCUAUACAUUACUAUAACUUAUAAGCUUU